GAUGAACGCUGGCGGCGUGCCUAAUACAUGCAAGUCGAGCGAACGGACGAGAAGCUUGCUUUUCUGAUGUUAGCGGCGGACGGGUGAGUAACACGUGGAUAACCUACCUAUAAGACUGGGAUAACUUCGGGAAACCGGAGCUAAUACCGGAUAAUAUUUUGAACCGCAUGGUUCAAAAGUGAAAGACGGUCUUGCUGUCACUUAUAGAUGGAUCCGCGCUGCAUUAGCUAGUUGGUAAGGUAACGGCUUACCAAGGCAACGAUGCAUAGCCGACCUGAGAGGGAGAUCGGCCAGACGGGAACUGAGACACGGUCCAGACUCCUACGGGAGGCAGCAGUAGGGAAUCUUCCGCAAUGGGCGAAAGCCUGACGGAGCAACGCCGCGUGAGUGAUGAAGGUCUUCGGAUCGUAAAACUCUGUUAUUAGGGAAGAACAUAUGUGUAAGUAACUGUGCACAUCUUGACGGUACCUAAUCAGAAAGCCACGGCUAACUACGUG
rnacentral:rRNA from 1 species